GCUGGGCGUGGUGGUGCACGCCUGUAAUCCCAGCUACUUGGGAGGCUGAGGCACAAGAAUCACUUGAACCCAGGAGGCAGAGGUUGUAGUGAGCCAGGAUCACACCACUGCAUUCCAGCCUGGGUGACAGAGCGAGACUCUGUCUCCA
ensembl:misc_RNA Metazoa_SRP Metazoan signal recognition particle RNA